rnacentral:lncRNA from 1 species
UUCUCAACAUCAAACUUAGGCUUCCAUGCAGAAGCCCGAUAGGACUCUGCAACUUUCUCAUCCUUUGAUAUCAAAAUGUUGUCAAACAAAAUACCAUCCUGCAUUGUCCAGAUCUCAAUGCCAACAGCAGCAAUAGGCUCAAAGUCAGGUUUGUCAAGCUCAAAAUAGUUGGGGUUUGGAAUCUGCUGAGGCUUCCAAAUACCCUUGUAAUUAGGGUUGUCAAUAUGUGGAGCAUGCCAUUUGCCCUUGUAGGCAGGAUUCCUCUUCAUUGGCCUCUUCCACUCGCCGCAUCCAGGGGCUGCUUCACACUUUGGGUUAUCAAUCUUUGGGGCCUCCCAUUCACCAUCCUCCUCAUCAUCCCAAUCCUCAGGUUUUGUGGCCUCAGGGUCAUCUAUCUCCUCAGGGUCAUCAUCCAGCCAUCCUUCAGGUUUCACAGCAUCCUCAUCUUCAAUUUCCAUGGGAGCAUCCUCAUCCCAGUCUUCAGGUUUUACUGCAUCAGGGUCAGGAAUCUUUGCCCUCUCAUCCCAAUCCUCAGGCUUCUUGUCAUCUGGAUCAGGAAUUGUCUUCUCAGGAAUGAGCGGUGGCUGAAAAUCAUCAGCAGCGAGGAAAUUUGCCUUCUGCUUCUCCUCUCCAUCAAUUAAAAUUCUCAACUCAUUAUCAGGUUUCAAGAUGGCAGUGUAUACAUGAGUCAGUUUAUCAGAGGGCACAGAAGGUGGGUUCUUGAGAUGGUGUUCAAUGUACUCUCCACUCUUGGGAUUCUUAUGCUUUAAGAUGAAGUGCACCUUGUUUGUUGCACCACAUUUAUCAGGUCCAAACAUAAUCAUAUACGGAGAUUCAUUGUCGAACUCCUUGGAUACCCAACCUGCCUCCUGAGGCCGCAGGUAUUUCAGAUAUGCACCACCACAUUCAAGACCAUUCUGGAGGCGAACCUCAUACUGGAGGACAACAGUUCCAUCCUUCAAACUCAGGGGCUCAUCAAGCUCCUUCACUAUCGCGUACUUCUUUGCCGGCUCACCAACAAGAAGGCCAUAAUCUUCAUGACCCUCACUCUUUGAAUGCUUCCAUACACCUAAAACCCAAAACCACACAGAAAAUGUUAAUGUCCAUCCAACUUCACGAACCAACCUAAUUUCCAAACUCAACCUAACUACAUUCUGACGUUUGACAUAGAGAACUCUGGAUGAUAAAUUUUUCACACAUCUGAAGUUGGGCACAUAAACCAUUUUAUUGCAUUUUAAUCAGUUCAAGACAAUAAUCAACGAUCUCUUCACUGUUAUUUUGGAUGUUCCUUAUGUUUCUUGAAGUGUUUUGUGUAUAAUAUUAAUGCAAAUGAAAUAACCCCUAGAAGGUUUCUCUUGUUGCAUGAGACAAAUAAGGCAUUCUUAUGCUCCUUUCCUAAAGUAAGCAAAGUGCCAUUGGACCAGUAGCAGAAAAUUUGGGUCUCCUACAUACGGUACACAUUAAACCACACACAACAACAACCCAACAAAAAUUUGCACCUGUGCAGGAACAUUCCCGACAGCAUACAUACACAACAACUAACUUUUCGAUGAUACACUCUUUAUAUAUAUACACACAUAACGGAUGCAGUCGUUCUCUGGUAUAGGAUCCUCACUUUGUUAAAGUCCGGGACCAACGACCAACUUUAGUCGCAGAUUAUAAGUCCGGAUUGAAAAAUUUUAUAUAUCCUCGAGAUUUCAAAUAAAAUCUACUUACUACACCAAUCAUUAAUUAUUAAAAUCACCAAUAAUUAACACUCAGCCAUUAUCAGUACAGAUCAAAAAAGAAAAAAGAGAAAGAAACUAACCUUUGUAUUCAUCUUUCUGAGAAACGAUCCAUCGUCCGUCGAACGACUCGUCAUACGACUCGUACAAGAUCUGAAACGUUACAUCAUCAGAACCGUAUAUAUACGACAAACACAAAUUAUACAGUACUAGAAAUAAUAAUGCAAAUACGCGCAAAUGUAAAUAUAGAAAAAGAAAAUAUGGUACCGUGGCAUCAUCAGAAGCGGAGAUCAAUUGAAAUGAAACGAAAGCAGCGAAAAGCAGGAGAGCGAACCGCAGAGAGACAGCCAUUCUCUGCACCAUGUGUGAGAGAGAGAGAGUCCGAGACCGCGAUCUGAAUCUAAAUCUUAAAAUCAAUCAACCCAAGUGCUACUAAAGUUGUUACUCGGUGUUGUAACUUGCGAGAUCUUAUAUAGAUCUUUCUAGAGACUGCCAUCGACUUGUUUCGUCCAAUGACAAUUGAUGCCACGUGAUAUUAUCCAAUCGCUGUUUGCCACGUCCACGGUUCCAUCAAUGCCGCUUCUAUUUGUUUUAUGCGUGAUUUCUUGUCCAAUUAAUUUUCGUGCGAGACCCGCUCCAUAAUUCUUGCGCGGUCAAGGCCCGUUUUAGUCUUUACAUUCAACGGCCCGUUUUAUUCAGCGAAAUUGAUUUAUUAGCAUUUUUGUUUCGGCCACCUCACACCCUCAAAUCUCAAUGUCGACCCAAUUCAAUAUUCAUUACACCUCCCCCCACCCCAAAAAAAAAAAAAAAAAGACGGUAAAUAUAAUUUCACUGAUAAUUUAUAUGGAAUAAAUAUUUUAAUAAGGAUCAAUUACUUUGUUAAAGUCUAAAAGACAAAAAGAUACAGCAUUUCAGUAAAUUAAAAGAUAAAGUAUAUGUGUUUUGUUAAUCUUUUAGUUUAUCCCUUCUUAUUACUCAUGCUUGGCAAACUUAUUUUGAUACUUCAACUACAUAUAUCUAGAUUCUCAACAUAUUUCAUAUUUGUAAAUUACUUUAAUAAACAUAUUUGUACCUUGAACGGCCCAUUUGAUGUGCCCAAAAAUAGGCCCAUUCAGCGAAAUUGAUUUAUUAACACUUUUGUUUGGCCACCUCGCACCCUCAAGUCGAUCCUAUUCAAUUCUUAGUCAAAAAAAUUAGAUACGGUAAAUAUAAUUUCACUAAUAUUUUAAUAUGAAAAUAAAUAUUCUAAUAAGGAUCAAUAACUUUAUUAAAGUAAGAUAUCAGUUAAAAGACAAAAAUACACUAAUUUUAAUAUAUUAUAAGAUAAAAUAUGCGUGUUUUGUUAACUUUUUGUUUAUCCCCGAAUGGAUCUCUUAUUAUUACUCAUGCCUGGCAUAGUUCGAAGAUACUUCAAUUACGUAUAUCUAGAUUCUCAACAUAUUUCAUAUUGCAAUAUAGUUGUAAAUUAUAACCAAAAAAAAAAUAUACUUUUGUUUUGAUCCAAAAAUAGCUCACUCAUCAAAAAUAAUUUCCCCCCUAACGGACACUCAAAAAAUAGUUUGUUUUAACAUAUUAUAUAUUGCCGUAAGGAGUUAAAAUAAUUUUUUUAAAGUACAAAUCUUAGUAUUUAUUUUUUAAAAAAAAAAAUUGACUAAAGUUUUUCAAAACUACUUAGGCUAUAUAACUCAGGCCAGCUCUCCUUGAAAUAGUUAUACACCUUAAAGGGGUUCUAUCAUAGUCGGACCCUAACUACAAACAUAACAACACUAACUGAAUUAUAUAGAAUUAGCCAAAGUAUCGGCAUAAGGACUCCAUUAAAUUUCAGCCGUUGCCUCGUCAGUUUUAUGGUUUUAUGUUGUAAUUAACUUCCUCGCAUUUGUGGUUUUUGCAUUAUAGCACCCGCGAAUCAAAAUCUUGACUCUGCUACCAUUAAUUGUUGCAAAAAAUAUCUUAAGUUCUGUUCACAACUGUUGGUACUCCAGACUAAUUUCAACAGCACAGUUACAAUGUAUGGUAAUCAAUUGCAAAGAAGCUGCAAACGAUCAUGAUCAUUGUUUUUAGAGUAAUGAUAGAGUAAUAGACUACAAUAUUAUAUUUAUUUGUACAAACUGAAAUGUACAAUUGAUGUGACAUGAAUGUAUUGAUUGGAUAAAAAUUAGGCUUUUGUUUAGUUAUAUAAUAAAAUCAUGUUAUGUAGCAGUCGUUACAUGAAAAUCCAACGGCUGUGAAAAUAUAGGAUAAUAAAAUCAUGUUAUUUCCACAGCCGUUGAAUUUUCAUCCAACAACUGCUAUAUAAUCAUAUAUGUUACAUGAUUAUGUAACAUAACAAUCUCUUAAAAAUGAUCAUAUACUCCAGUUAUUAUAUAUUUUCAUUCAUAUAUUAUACAAUUUUUAUGCUUUUCAUUCGUCUAAUAUCUCACGCUACAUAGUUAAUACAAGUAGUUUGUGUGUGAUUCUAUCAUUGCCACUGUUUUGAUAAUUGUCCAAUUCGCUGUUGUGCGGUCAAAUAUGUAUAUAAAUGAGCCUUAAUCUUUGGUGAAUAAACAAUGUUAUCAAAAUUGACUCAUUCUCAAUUACAAAGGUCAAGAGAAUGUUGACAUCUUUUGCAGGGAAUUCAACCUUGAUGGGCACUAAAGCUAAUUUUUAAGUAGAUCGAAUUCACAUCUGGUGCAAUAUUCUAGAUUUAAUUGGGAAGGAGGCCACUACUACCUAGCUACCUGCCUACCUUAUAUGUACACUUUUGAAGAGAUAUACAAGAUAAGCCCUUGAAAGGCUUGGAGCGCAUAUAUUGUGCUACAACCACAUAGCAUUCAGUUCAAAGAGCUAGCAUAGGCUCUAAGCCUCUAACAUCCAAUUUAUUCAUUUAUCACGAGCACAUAGAAUCGCAAUUGGUCCUGUUUUGACAGUAUCAUGUGCAUGCGGUGAUUAGGGUAUUGCUAGUCGUAAAGCCCAUUUAGAGAAAAUUUCGAAGUUUUUUUUUUCCCCCUCUAGGUUUCUCUCAUUCUGAGAAAGACAGUCGUAAUAAUCUUAUAGCAAAUUAAUAUUUUAUACAGCUGCAAAACUAUUUAUCAAUGAAGCGGAACAGCAUAUACUUUAAUUCUUAGACUGCCUCCUCCUCCGGACCCUUAUCAGAAUUAUAAUGAUUAGCAAUCCCCCGAUAAUACGUGUUGAUUUUUGCCAUUUGUGCAGUACAUAAUAAUAAUCUUGAUUCUUAUUAAUUCUUGUCAUAUAUGCACCACAUAAUUAAAUUAAUAGUCUCGAUUAUAUACGUAUGCGUGUAUCAUGAUCGAUGGUCUUGAUCCCUGCAUAUGUGUAUCACACUUAACGGUACGUGCCGUAAUAUUCGUAUCAUAAUGGCCUUGAUGAAAGAAUUAAUCUUUAUGUGAUAAAGGGAUGCCCUAGUUUGUCUGCACAACAUUAAUUCAAGGUUGUCCGGUUCAACUGCUGGUUAAAAAUAUUGACAUGCAUGAUCAAAGUCUAUGAACAAAUUUCUAUAUCUUGGGCUAGUGAGUUGUAAAAUUGCUAUGAAAGAUGAAUAUUGUCGAUGAAUUACCUUCAUAAUGUAUACAGCCAGAGAAGAUCCCAGGGAGCUCAUCUCAUUCCCCCCCACCAUUGUGACAGACAAGAAGGCUCUGCAAGUUAUUUACAGAAGCAUUUAUAGAGCUGCUAAGUCAGCUAUAUAAUUAGUUAGAGUUAGUUUUACAGUCUUGAUUAGGAAUAUAGUUAAAUCAUUAGAUACUCAUCGUAAUUAGCUAGUGUAAAUAUAGUUACAAUUGUACAGAGCACAUUAGUAGUGAUUGAAUGACGAAAUCAGUUUGUCAUUGUUUCUCUCACAUUUUCUCUCAUUUUCUUUGUUCCCAAACAACUGUUUCUUACAUAUUACGUUUCAUAACUUUGAAAGCUUAUGCUGAUUAAUUGCUCCAUUAGUUACAAGAUCAAACUUCUCUGUAAGCACAGCUGACAAACAACACCCCGUUGACUGAAUUCCAAUUCAUAUCGUGCAAAAGAUGUGCUGAUGUUGUGGAAAACUUUUCAGCUCGGACUAACUAAUAAAUAAGUAAUAUUGUAUAUCUCUUACUUAAUUUUGAAGCUGAAACUUAUGUACAUCAACAUACCUGGUGCCAUCAUGGUUCAUUUCAGAUCAAAAUUUGAUUUCCUGAUCUUCUUUACCGCUGCCGGCACGCCAGAUUUCACAGCUAAGAGCCUAUAUUUUCCGAACUGCCCUACCUCAACGGCGCCUUCUGUAUCAGAAGGAAUGAUUUGCAAAGCCAAGAGGAGCCGUUGAGGGAGAGAGUUCGGAGAACGUUAGCUCUCAAAAUUAAUUUUCCCAUUCAAAGAGACAGCUGAAUUUACUUUUUGAAUUUGAUGAGAUGGGGAUGUUAUUGCUCAGGGUUUUGGGGUACUUGUAGCGUUCAUUCAGGGCUAGGGUUUUAUUACAUGUAUAUCAAAGGCCAUUUUUUUUUUCAAGGACUUGUUUCAACCAAUGUUAAGGGACUUACAGAAAAACUACUCACAGAAUCACAGUCAUCUUAUAACGACAUUUUAUAAAAGUCCACGAUGUAUAAUAUUUAUUCAGUGACGCGUCUUUGGUAACAUCCUAAGAAAUUGGAAUUAUACACAGGUUUAUUCAGUAAGCACUGGCAUUAUUUGGUGUCUAAGUUGGUUUUCUGAAGAAAAGAAAGGAAUUAGAAGCUAGCCCACAGAGAUUUGGACGAAUGGACAGUCUGCAUUUGAUCACAAACCGCAUGCUCCACUUGUUUUAAGUUUCAAUUAGUAUUAAUUUUGGUAGAAAAUAAGGCCAGCUCAGGGUUUCCAUCUAAGCAAAUACCUCAGCUACUUCAAAAUAGCUAGAGCCAGGGCCUAGGGGUGGCCGGGCGAGGCCCUAGGGCACGUUCUAAUUGAGGUUUUUGUAAUUUUGGAGAGGGGGACAAAUAAUAACAUUAUGUCGGGUUAUGGUUUUAAACAAGGACUCCUGCUUAAUUUGUCCUAACUAGAUAGGGUCUGCAGCUUUAGGCUUCUCCGGCAUCAAAGAAAAGGGCAAAUUCAGUUACCAAUAUUUACUCUCUAGGUACCGCAAUAGUACUGCUUCCGCCAGAGCAUAAUCUUAUGUCUCUAGACAUAAUCUUAUGUCAUUGGCUAAGCUAAUUAAGAAGAAGCAUGUGUUUGGCAACUUUAUUCUAACCUAAUUUUACACACACACACACAAACAAAAAAAAAAAAAAGAGAAAUGAGUAUUUCUCCAAGAGCUAAUAGUUCUUCAAAAACAGUUGAUUUUUUUCCCCCACAAUCAAAGUUCAGAACUAAACAAUUUAAAUUAAGUACCUGUUAGAACUAAUUAAUCAUUCUGAUGCUGUAAAAAUUUCUCUCAAAUAAAAGGGGGAAAAAAAAAAGAACACCAUGCACGUACAGAACUGAUUAAAUGGAGUCAUAAGCUUUCGACCUCCCCCUAGGGUUUCCAACAUUCCCAUGCUUACAAGGCCAAUUUGAGGAAGCAUGGUAUAUUGGAAGCCUUCGAGGGAGGUUGGAAGCUUCUCCAUUUUUAACUUAUAAACAAUUAUGCUUGCUUGUUUGUUUUUCGCUAUGGCUAGUUAGAUUUAUAUAGGGAAAAUGAACCACUAUUUGGGAAUAAAAAUCUUGUGCAAUCCUCCGUACAAGGUGAUUCACAUGUUUUUAGAGUUCUCCAAUUUCAAUGAGAAGCAUAAUGUACACCUUAUUUAAAAGGGAACUCAAAGGCCUACACUACCCCCGUCUUACUGCUUAGAAAAGAAUCCACCAUAGAUUUGUUUGGUUUUCCUAAAUCUGUUGGCAAGCAGCAUACUGGAUUUUUUAUAUCCGUUUCUGAUUUGAACUGUGCUGAUAUUUUGAUGAUCUUGUGACACAUGGACAUUUAUAAUAUUGUAUAGUUGAGAUGUAAUCACAACCUUAUACAAAGAAGAUCACACAAAAAUCAUAUCAGCAUUGACUCCGAAUCCAUAUGUAUGUAGAUAGAUGUAUGCCAACUACAUCCAUAAUUAUUUCGAAGAAUAAAUUAAAGAUCUCAAAUUGACUCAUGGCUCAUUACAAAGGUCAAGAGAAUAUGAAUCGGGAAAUUCAACCUUGAUGUAUAAAGAAACUAAUUUGGUUAAUGGAAUUCAACCUAGUGCUCAAAAGAUGCCACUCACAGUCCAGCUAGUUGCUACCUACCCUACAUAUCAUCAACGUGGAAAUGGAAUCCUAUCCAUUGGCCCGGAAAGUCAACUUGAUUAAGUUUCUGCAAACAUUAGCCCAUCAGCCAGCCUUAAAAUGCAUAUAUUAUGCUGAGAAAGACACCAUAAAAUGUUCAAACACUUCAAGGAGUUUGGCUCAAACAUCCCUGUUUUCAUAGGAGAUACAAAUGAAUUGAUUACUGCAGCUGCCAACCUACAUGCAUUCAUCUAUUAAAAUGAAACAUGUUUAUAGUAUUUUUUAGUGGGAAGAGAAGAAUGCUAUCACAAUAAGCUAGCUAUCUAUCACAGUUGGGAAUAUUUGAUCCGGUGCAUUAGUGCAAAGAAAAGAAUGCUAUCUCUUUCCCAAAAUGCAUACAUAUCUGAUCUGCUGUGAGAAUAUUAUCUCUCAAAUAUUCCCCAUGUGGCAGAUGUGAAGAGACAUGUGUCUUGAGUAAUAAUAGAAAACAACAGAAAGGAAAACUUCUUGUUUACUUAAAAAUGUAUUUUUCCUUCCAUUAAUACAAUGUUCCGCGAAGUUGUAAUUUCAAAGCUUCACUUUGAAAGAUAUCAUAUGAAGGUUAAUUGAUUCAGAUUACAAAUUUAUGUAUAAGAGAUUGAUUGAAAACCCCUCUUUCUUUCUAUGUCGUGUCAUCCAUUUUGUGGAUGUUAAGACUGAAUAAUAAAUUAUAGAGUAAAUUUUAUACGGAAAGAAAUGAUUGAUGGUAAGUCACUUGAGAUAGUAUCCUAACAGCGAGUGUAAACAUAAUAUUAUUGGGCCUAUAAAAUACAUAAAUAGCAAACAAAGUUUAUAAGUAGCUUAAAAGAAUUGACUUUUUAAAACAAUUGAAGCAUAUCAUUAUAUCACAAUUAAAUCCAUCCAAACAGUAAUAAAUCAACUUAAAUUUACAUGGCAAAGCAUUGGAUCUCAAAAUAGGACCAUCCAUGAAUCCUAUUGUAGGGAUCUUCUUACUUUUAUUUAAACGUCUUAGCACGUUAAGGUUGUGAGAUUAUCUUAUAUAAAUUUUUCUUCCCAAAUAGACAUCACGAUUCACGGAGUUCAAGCAUCUCUCUAGUUCUUGUGUAUAUAUCUUAUAAUGGAUUACCAUAUUGCAUUAGUACAUAAUUCUUAAGUAUAUAAUUUUAUAGGGGUUGAUGAAUCAUUUGAAAGGGAUUUGUAUAUUUGAGUAAUUUGAAACCUCCUUCUCAUUUACAAUGAUUCCUUACUAUUAAUUAACCUUUUGAAGAUUUUACACUUUUUAAAAAGUAGGGGAGUAGGGAAAAUCAAAUUGAUUUUUUAACCACCUACCUUCCUAUUAUUUGAAUGUAGAUGGUAUAUAUAUAUAUACACACACACACACACUUGAAAACACUUGAUCAAGCUUUUGGAAAUUGAAACUUUUUAACGGUUUUACAUUGUUAACUACCGAAGAAUUCUAUCCAAUGUGAGAGUAGAAAUAGGGAUCUACCCGUUCUUGGCAAUAUAAAAUAUGUGUAGUUACAUAAAAUAAGAAAUAAAUUUUUGUUUUUUGUUAUGUAAACUUUUGAUCUUCAUUUUCACAAGAUUAUAUUUUUUCAUUUUUUAUUUAUUUAAUUUUUUUACUAUUAACUGUAAUUUUUAUAAUUUUUAAUUAAUACAUUAUUUUAAUUUAAUCUUUAAAUUUAUUUAAAAAAAAAAAAGCAAACGAUUUAGAAACUGGUUAGACCAAGUCUUUGGCUACCAUAUCGGCCACAUCCUUGUUAUAGAGUUUCACGGCCAGCCGCGUAUGUUUAACCUUUAGCAAGGAGCUGUAGUUAUUUUUUUAAAUAUGCAGUGCAGGCAGCCAGCCUAAUAUGUAUUAUACGAUUCAUUGAUAUGCUUAAUUAUUCUAACAUCCUAUGAAUUUGCAAUAUGAUUAACGCAUAGAUUACGCAUAUGACUCUAGCUGCCGUAGCUUGUUUGGAGAUGAUGAUAUAUGCGUAAUGGGAUGGUGGUAACUGGCAACGAAAGAAAUUAAUAUAUAAGCCCUCGGCACAUGAAAAAGAGUGCAUCCCACAACAUCAUUUGAAUAUAACAUUACUGAAGUAUUAAUAAUUAAUUACAUCUUCUAUAAUAUGAAAUUAAUCUAUCAAGUAAUAUAAAUAUUAAACAAUUUGCCUCAUACAAUUGCCACUGCCCUUUACCACUUACAGUUUCGAAGAGUUGCACCAAAUUUUUAAUUAAAAUAUUAUUUUAAAUGUACUAUAUACACAUAUACAUCACUUGACCGGCACACCAAUGUUUGUUGGCAAGCUCACAUCAAACUUUUCAUAAUAUGUUGUGAUGUUAGCUCAUGAGUUAAGGAAAAUUUAUUAAAAUAGUCAUUAUAUUUUUAUAUUUUUUAAAUUUAAUCUUUCAAAUUUUUUUUCUAUCAUAACUAGUCAAAUGCUAAAUUUUUGGAUCGAUCAAAUUGUUCUCGCUACUUUCAUCAAAUGUUCAAACAAUGCCACUCUUGCAAUACUCAACACUCUCAACAAACCUUAACACUCUCAACACCCUCAACAAAUAGGGAUGCCAAAUAUCCAAUUAUGGAUAGAUAUUAUCCAUCUAAAUACAAAUCCAUAAUUAUCCAUAAUGAAUAUAUCCAUAUCCAUAUCCAAUAGUUAAUAUUGGGCAUGGAUAUGAAUUUUAUCCAUAUAGAUAUGGAGAUCCAUGGAAUUUUAUUUUUAUUAUAUAAAAAUAAUAAUAUAAAAUAGUUAAAAUUCCAAUAUCAAUUUUGGCUAUUAAACUAUUUAUAUUAGUAAUAAUAUAUAUAUAUAUAAUAAAAUGGUGGUCCGGUGGCCGGUGGCGGAGGUCCGGCAACUUUCCGGCGACCUUCCGGCGGUGGUCUGGUGACUUUUCGGUUGAGGUCCAUUUAUAAUAUUAAAUCAAUAAAAUAAAAUAAUAAUUGUUAAUGGCAUUAAAUAAGUUAAAAAAUUGAAUGAGAGAGAGAGAGAGAGAGAGAGAGAGAGAGAGAGAGAGAGAGAGAGAGAGAGAGAGAGAGAGAGAGAGAGAGAGAGAGAGAGAGAGAGAGAGAGAGAGAGAGAGAGAGAGAGAGAGAGAGAGAGAGAGAGAGAGAGAGAGAGAGAGAGAGAGAGAGAGAGAGAGAGAGAGAGACUAGUUUUGAGAAUUGUAUUCAAGUUUCCUAAAAUGCUAUGGGGGUUAUAAUCUUUAUUGUAGUAGAUAAAUAUAAUAACUCAAAUAGUACUAAUGGAAAAGACCCUAAAUCUUAGAAACUCUUAAAUGUUAAUGAAUGUAUAAUUUAGUAUAAAUUAAUGCCAAGGCUUAUUAGGGGAUCCAAGCAUUCUUGUUUUUGGAUUGCAAAAGAUGAAUAUUGUUUGGAUGGGACUAUUAGCAUUUAAAAAAAUAUUUUGAAUAUAAAAAUAUCGUUUAUGUAAAAUACUAUUACAAACAAUAUCUAUUAUGAGCUGAAUAUAACAUAAUUAUUUCAAGCACCCUUAACACAAACCCAUUAUUCAACAUACAAUAUUUUUUCAUAAAUUCUGAAUUUUUUGUUUCCAACAUCUUAAAAAAAUGUUAUAGUAAAAAAUAUUUGCCUAUAAGGUAAGUGUGACCCUUUCAUUCUUUUUCUAAAAGUAAAAAACUAUUAAGAUAGCCGUCUUUUUUGCUUAUGAUUUUCAAAAAAUAAAAAACAUAUCUUAAACCCCAAACUUCCUCUUCUUCUUUCUCGGUUGCACUGCAAACCAUAUUGAUCAUCUUCUUCUUUCUCGAUUGCACAAAGUUCCCUUUUGGGAGCAAAAACGAAAACUUUCUUUAUUACAAAUAAUUAAUUACUAAAAUUGUGUUCGAACAUUUGUUAUAAACUUAAAUUGAUUUCAAUGUUAUAAGUGUAUGCUAAUUUUCUUAAAAAUUUUAUUUGGGUGUGCUGAAUAAUUUUAUUGGUAUUUUGAGUAAAUAAAGAUGAUUAAUUUAAUUGGUUUAAGUAAGAAAUAUUUUUAGGUACUUUAAAGAAUGCACAAAGUAAAACUUAAUUUCUUAAACUUAUUAGAUAAAUAUAGAUAAUAAUAGAGUGUUCAAAGUAAUUAAUUUUUAGAAUUCAAAUAGCUUCAUCCCUUUUGUAUUAAUCGUCAAAAAAUUGAUUAAUUACUUGGAUUACUCCCCUUGUGAAAGGUCAAUUUUCAAAGUGCCCUCUAAAUUAUUAUAAACUUCAACUUACUCCCACUUUUGUUUAAAAGGUAAGAGAAAAAUAAGAAUGGAUUAAUUAAAAGUUUUCCCCUUUUUAACACAAAUAGAGAAAAACUGAAAUUUAUAAUAAUCUAAAAGUAUAUUGAAAAUUAUUAGUUCAUGAGCGAUAAUCCAAAAUUUACCCCAAUUACUUUCAUUAUCCAUCAAGGUUGGACUCAGGAGAAAAGAGAGGCAUUUUCUUCUUGACCUUUUGUAGUCUAUUGGGAGUAAGUCAUCAAUAUUUUAAGAUAACUAUUGUUGAUGGCGAAAAACGACCUCAACAGCUGAGUUUGUUUCUUUUGGGGGAUUGCAGCGCGAAUCCAACCUCAAACGCAAGUUUGAUCGCAACUUUUUAUACCUGCCAACCAGAAAACAUGGUUAGGAUACGCCGGUGGGGUUCUCACCAAAUAUAAUAUGGCACUAUAACUUAAUACAAUAUAAUAUAAUAUAGCCUAAUAUUAUACAACACAAUACGUUAAAUAUACUCUUAAAGUAGCCACAAUAUAAUCUUAUGAUAAUAAACCUUACGAGACAUGAAACAAACAAAUUUUAAAAAGUUCUCUUCUAGUUCAAGGUCGGUGGCAACAGGAGGGCGGAUGUGGAAUGUCUAUUAAAGAUAAUAAAUAUUCUUUUCUAACUCAUUCACAAGGCCAACAACCGGCGCAUCUGGUGUAGUGGUAUCAUAGUACCCUCCCACGGUACUGACCGGGGUUCGAUUCCCCGGAUGCGCAUUUAAUUAUUUUGCAAUGUUUCUAAAUAAUGCUACGGAUACUUUGGGCCAGUACCAUUUUGAGGGCCUUAUUUUGUUUUAGUUUCGGGAGUACAUAUGCAACACAUGUUUGUUGGGCUACAUUCAAAAAAUAUAGAGUGGGACUAUUGGCACCCCUCUAAAUAUCUCUUAUCACCUCUUUUUUUAAUUAACUUCAUUAUAAUAUUUUAAAAAAUUAUAAAUUCUUUUAACACCUUUAUCAAUGAUAAAAAUAUCUUUAAGUAAAAUUUAUGGUGUAAAUUUCAUUCUCUAAUUUUUUAUUAUUAAAACUCAUUUCAACAACUAGAUUUCUUCUAUUUAAAAAAAAAGAGUUUUUCUUUCUUUUUAUUGUAACCAUUGAUAGUAAAUUCGUCACCUGAAAAUAAAAUAAAAACAACUUUUUUAAUUUCUAAAAUAAAAAAUUAUAUAACUUUUGAGUGGAGUUUAAUUAGAAAUUGUUCUAUUAUGUAAUUUUAAUAAAAGUUAAAAUUGUAAAAUAAUUGAAGGGGUUUUAUGAGGUAUUUAGAGGGUUGUCAAUAGUCUCACUCAAAAAUAUAUUAUAAUAAAAAUAAAACAAAACAACGUAAGUCUUAAUUCCCAUUAAAAUUAGAAGAUAAUUUUUUUUAACUUAAUUAUAUUUUUAAUUUUUUUCAUCUGCUGUACGGCCAAGGCGGAUGUACGGUACAGCAGUUAUUUUAUUUUCAAUUAUGCGCAAUUAAACAUACCGCGGCAUAUUAGGAAGUAAUUCUAGUGAUGUGAUGAUAUUAAUAUAUAAUGUUGCAUGUACUAAUAUUGCUCUUAGGUCAUGUAGAGGAGAAUAGUGAAAUUAAAUUUCAUAGUUUGCUUUAACAUAAAGUUCGAUAGGGAAAGGAAUUACAAUUUUUUUUUUGGGAUAAAUUUAUCCUUGGCCUUAAAUGCUAAAUUACCUAUAUUAGUAAUGAAAUAUAAUUUAAUAUCAAAUUUCCGGCGACGAUCCGGCGGAGCUCCUACGAAGUUCUAGCGACAGUCCGGCAGAGGUUUGGUGAAAUUCCGGCAAAGUUCCAACGACAGUUAAUUUAUAUUUCUAUAUUUUCAUAUUAAAUAAAUAAAUAAGUUUGUUUAUUUUAUUAAGUUUCUUAAAUCAUUGACUAAAUUUAAUUAAUAUAAAAUUACUUAUAAUAUUAAAUUGAUAAAAUAAAAUAAUAAUUAUUAAUUAUUAAUGGCAUUAAAUAAGUUAAAAUGUUGAAGGGUAAUUUUAGAAACUUUAGUUUUCAACAUAAGAGGAAUUUAAAUUCUUCACUCCUUGGUAUGGAAUUCAAAUUCUAUAUUAUAAUGUAUAUUAAAUUUUAAUGAAAAUUAAAUUCUUAUAUAUUUUUUGUAAUCAAACAAUGAAAAUAAAAAUGGAAUUUGAAUCACUUUCCUCUCCACCACUCUCUCCUCCCAACCAAACAUCACCUUAGAGUGUGUUUGGAACACACCACAUUACAUGCCAUCACACUAUAUAGCUAAUGCAAUGCAAUCUCAUGUUUACCCCAUAACAUGAGUAGUGCCCUAUUAAAUAAACUUGAGAAGGGAUCGAUUUGUGUAAUAUGGUACUAUUCACAUUAGUUUUAGUUAAUCUCUUUCUUAAAAUAAUAAAAAAUAAAUACGAAUAUCUAAUAUUAAAUAAAAAUUAAAAACUCAAAUAUGCUACCGCCAGAGAUAGAUCAACGACAGCUGACUGCAGCUUGUGAUGACAAUAGUGAAGUAUCCGUUUUAAUUACAAAAAUUUAAAUUAUUUAAUUAAUUACAAAUAAUAAAAUAUAAAUGAAUCUUAAAUAUUAAAAUAAACAUUACAAUAUAGUCCUUACUACACCAAAUAUAAUAUGGCACUAUAACUUAAUACAAUAUAAUAUAAUAUAGCCUAAUAUUAUACAACACAAUACGUUAAAUAUACUCUUAAAGUAGCCACAAUAUAAUCUUAUGAUAAUAAACCUUACGAGACAUGAAACAAACAAAUUUUAAAAAGUUCUCUUCUAGUUCAAGGUCGGUGGCAACAGGAGGGCGGAUGUGGAAUGUCUAUUAAAGAUAAUAAAUAUUCUUUUCUAACUCAUUCACAAGGCCAACAACCGGCGCAUCUGGUGUAGUGGUAUCAUAGUACCCUCCCACGGUACUGACCGGGGUUCGAUUCCCCGGAUGCGCAUUUAAUUAUUUUGCAAUGUUUCUAAAUAAUGCUACGGAUACUUUGGGCCAGUACCAUUUUGAGGGCCUUAUUUUGUUUUAGUUUCGGGAGUACAUAUGCAACACAUGUUUGUUGGGCUACAUUCAAAAAAUAUAGAGUGGGACUAUUGGCACCCCUCUAAAUAUCUCUUAUCACCUCUUUUUUUAAUUAACUUCAUUAUAAUAUUUUAAAAAAUUAUAAAUUCUUUUAACACCUUUAUCAAUGAUAAAAAUAUCUUUAAGUAAAAUUUAUGGUGUAAAUUUCAUUCUCUAAUUUUUUAUUAUUAAAACUCAUUUCAACAACUAGAUUUCUUCUAUUUAAAAAAAAAGAGUUUUUCUUUCUUUUUAUUGUAACCAUUGAUAGUAAAUUCGUCACCUGAAAAUAAAAUAAAAACAACUUUUUUAAUUUCUAAAAUAAAAAAUUAUAUAACUUUUGAGUGGAGUUUAAUUAGAAAUUGUUCUAUUAUGUAAUUUUAAUAAAAGUUAAAAUUGUAAAAUAAUUGAAGGGGUUUUAUGAGGUAUUUAGAGGGUUGUCAAUAGUCUCACUCAAAAAUAUAUUAUAAUAAAAAUAAAACAAAACAACGUAAGUCUUAAUUCCCAUUAAAAUUAGAAGAUAAUUUUUUUUAACUUAAUUAUAUUUUUAAUUUUUUUCAUAUAAAGAGGCCACUACUCAGAAAGUAUGAUUAAGUGGAAAGAUAUUUUAGAGAAGAUAGUAAAAUAUCCUUCAAUUAUUUUCUUCUCUUCUAUUUAUUAUUUGUUAUCGUGCCACUUUUAAUCUCUAACUUAAAUAUCAAAGGGUAGGUUGAUAAUACCUCCAUCGAUAGUACCCUUGGCAAUCUCUUAUGGGUUAUUAUUUUAUAGGAUUCCGACUAUCGAACUCUUCAAUCUUAAUAAUGACAACCCUAAGUACAUCAAGUUCAUAACUCGUUCUUUUAAGAAAAACAACUCUUACUGUAUGGUCAAAUUCUUUGUAUCUAGCAGUUGGUGCUAAAACACUACCGUUGGGUUCAAACACACUCUUCGACGAAUCAAAAUUGGGAGUUGCUCAGCUUUGCAAAACAAAAAUGGUGUUGCCAGCUUACCAACACAAGAGCAAAAGAAUACAAACUAUGAAAUAAGUAUUAAUUAAUAGAAAAACAGAGAAAAGAAAAUGAGUCUCAAAACACACCAAAACAUGAGUAAAAUCAAACCGUUGUUCGCGGCAACUACACUACCACCAGAAUCGGUGGUCGUUCGUAAAACCUCUAAAAAAGGAUAUAUGGACUAAAGCUGCAAACUUCUUACAGAAGCACUGCCGCAAACCGGCGGAUUCAUUCGAGAUUUUCUCAUAUCAUUCACCUUGUUUGUCCUCAUUUUCUCAUGUUAUCUAUCAUGUGCCCCUUCAUUAAUUCAUUAUGAUGGCUGGAAUGCUGCCGUUUUGCUUAUAAGGUUUGUGUUGCCAUUUUCAAUGAGAAUAAUACUUAACGCAUGCAGUUUGAAGAGAUAAAUCAAAAUUAGUAGUCAAGCCAACUCUCAACGUGACCCCAAAGAAUGCAAAGCUCAGCUUGCUUUCCACUUCGAGUGCCUUUGAAACGACACAAUCUCCACCGUCCAGCAAUAUCGUUAUAAAAUAAAUUUGCCUAAAAUGACAUCAAGUAUUAUCUAUGCUCCGAAUGAACCCUUCAAGUGAUCAUGUCGUCUCCGGAACCCAAACACCCAUCGAAUCUGUUGAAUCAUCCAUCCAAAAUCUACUCAAAAGCUUUUACAGAAGGCUUGAAUAUUGGAAACUCCUUUUGAAUGCCUCCGAAGAACAAAACCAGCAGCUGAUCACUAAAGCAGCACCAUGGAGAAAUCAGCUAGCCAGUUUUCUAGAGUCAACCACAGUUCGGGCAAUCACAAUGUCACUGCUUCUCUUGGAUCUUCUCUUCACAAUUCUUGAACUCGCCUCUUCUCUAUUACAUUCUUGUGCUCCCAAAAAGAACGAUUACUCUGAUUCUUUAGAUGAUCAUCAGCAAGUUUGGUACCACUGGGUUGGGGUUGCAAUAUUAUGUGUAGUUUCUUUAAAGACUAUGGCUCUAGCAGUAGCUCUAGGCAGGGGAUUCUUUAGACGGCCAGGCAAUGUGAUUGAUGGUGUGGUUGUUAUUGGGGCUGUAUUCUUGGAAGCGUUUUUGGAGAGAAGAGGAGGGGGGUUGCUGGUAAUUGUAAGUUUGUGGCGUGUUAUGAGGGUUGUUGAGAGUGCCUUUGAGUUGAGCGAUGAGGCCAUCGAGGCACAAAUUCAAAGUAUUUUAUGCCAGGUUCAGGCCCUCCGUGAUGAGAAUAUUAAACUUAACGAGAUCAUUGCUGAAAAGGAUGUUAUUAUUGACAUGCUCCGGGAACAACUGUAUCAAUAUUGUCAACAACAUGCGAGCACUAGCGCAAUGCAUUGAAAAGCUUAAGAAAAUAUAGAAUAUCUUCUUCUUCUUCUUUGUGUGUUUUUAAAUUUAUUUUGAUUUACUUUUUAAAAUAUUCAUAAUUCUGUCGACACUUGUGACCACUAAUCAGAGACUUAACUAAAAAUUUUGUUUAAACUUUAACAUCAUAAAUUUUAGUACCAGCGAAAUUAUCGGUUAAAAAAUAGCCCAAAAAAAUUCAAUUUGUUCAGCGAUUCACCCAUUAUUUACAAAUUAUAUUUACUAGUCAUACCCAAUUAUAUUUACCAACCAAACAUGACAAAUUAUUAAAUUAUUCAACCGGUGAUUGCGUUCAAAUCUAAAUUUAAUAAAUAAACAUGUAAUCAACUGAUUUAUUUUUGCCGACUAAAGACCAGACGUGUUACUGACACGUGUGGAGCCCCGACUUGAACAGCUGCCUGAUAUUGAAAGAUGAAAAGAAUUUGAUACAUCCUUAUCCACAUCGACGAUUUGAAAUAAUUAGUCUUAACAUAGACACAAGUCACUGAAACGGCAUACACAAGAAGCUGAAGCAUCAUCAUCAUCAUCAUCAUCAUCAUCUUCAUCUUACAUACAAAGGAUCAUACUUAAGCUGUGUAUUAACCAAACAUCAUUCACUUCAAUUUACAAUCAUACCCAUCACAGAGUAUCCAGAAGUAAGCCAUAGAAACAACCAGAGAGCCAAAAUGAAAAAAAAAAAAAAAAAAAAAAAAAAAAAAAAAAAAUUUUUAAAAAAAAAAAAAAAAUGAAUAUUGAAAGAUGAAAAGAAUUUGAUACAUCCUUAUCCACAUCGACGAUUUGAAAUAAUUAGUCUUAACAUAGACACAAGUCACUGAAACGGCAUACACAAGAAGCUGAAGCAUCAUCAUCAUCAUCAUCAUCAUCAUCUUCAUCUUACAUACAAAGGAUCAUACUUAAGCUGUGUAUUAACCAAACAUCAUUCACUUCAAUUUACAAUCAUACCCAUCACAGAGUAUCCAGAAGUAAGCCAUAGAAACAACCAGAGAGCCAAAUAAAAAAAAAAAAAAAAAAAAAAAAAACAGAAGAAAUAAUUUAUUAAAAAAAAAAAAAACUAAAAGUGACCACUUUUAGUUGUUUUCAGACUUGCUUGGGGUCAAUACCAACAGACUUGAGAGUCUCGACACGGUGUUUAUGAGCAUAAGCAUCUUUACGGAUGGGAUCAGGUACAGGAUGAUCACCGUAGUCAAACUCCUGAACGUGCGCCACCUUUCUGAAGAACGACUUGUUCAGGAACUUCUCAGCAUCGCUCACCACCUUGUCGGGGUCGUUCACUUCCGGCACGGUCUCUCGCGUCUUCCUCCUCACGUACACGUUCGGCGAGCGCGCCAGCUGCUGCGUCGCCGUGACCAGCCCCAGAGACACCGACAGUGUUAUCAUGCCAAUCGCCAUGCACACCGGCACAUAAUCGCCCUUCUGAACUGGUUUUGGAAACUGUAAUUUUGGCCUUGGUUGCUCUUGAAAAUGGGCGUAAUCGGCUGCGGUGGGCGCGUAGGAUUUACCUUUCGGAGUUGUUGAGGUUGCAUAAGUUGCAGUACUUCCUCUUAAGCCACCCAUUAGUGACCUUAAA